rnacentral:rRNA from 1 species
CCUACGGGAGGCAGCAGUGAGGAAUAUUGGUCAAUGGACGAGAGUCUGAACCAGCCAAGUAGCGUGAAGGAUGACUGCCCUAUGGGUUGUAAACUUCUUUUAUAUGGUAAUAAAACGUUCCACGUGUGGGAUUUUGUAUAUACCAUAUGAAUAAGGAUCGGCUAACUCCGUGCCAGCAGCCGCGGUAAUACGGAGGAUCCGAGCGUUAUCCGGAUUUAUUGGGUUUAAAGGGAGCGUAGGUGGAUUGUUAAGUCAGUUGUGAAAGUUUGCGGCUCAACCGUAAAAUUGCAGUUGAAACUGGCAGUCUUGAGUACAGUAGAGGUGGGCGGAAUUCGUGGUGUAGCGGUGAAAUGCUUAGAUAUCACGAAGAACUCCGAUUGCGAAGGCAGUUCACUGGACUGCAACUGACACUGAGGCUCGAAAGUGUGGGUAUCAAACAGGAUUAGAUACCCCUGUAGUC